GCCAGCCUAGGAGAAGAAGUUCGUAGUCCCAGAGGUGAGGCAGGAGGCGGCAGUUUCUGGCGGGUGAGGGCGGAGCUGAAGUGACAGCGGAGGCGGAAGCAACGGUCGGUGGGGCGGAGAAGGGGGCUGGCCCCAGGAGGAGGAGGAAACCCUUCCGAGAAAACAGCAACAAGCUGAGCUGCUGUGACAGAGGGGAACAAGAUGGCGGCGCCGAAGGGGAGCCUCUGGGUGAGGACCCAACUGGGGCUCCCGCCGCUGCUGCUGCUGACCAUGGCCUUGGCCGGAGGUUCGGGGACCGCUUCGGCUGAAGCAUUUGACUCGGUCUUGGGUGAUACGGCGUCUUGCCACCGGGCCUGUCAGUUGACCUACCCCUUGCACACCUACCCUAAGGAAGAGGAGUUGUACGCAUGUCAGAGAGGUUGCAGGCUGUUUUCAAUUUGUCAGUUUGUGGAUGAUGGAAUUGACUUAAAUCGAACUAAAUUGGAAUGUGAAUCUGCAUGUACAGAAGCAUAUUCCCAAUCUGAUGAGCAAUAUGCUUGCCAUCUUGGUUGCCAGAAUCAGCUGCCAUUCGCUGAACUGAGACAAGAACAACUUAUGUCCCUGAUGCCAAAAAUGCACCUACUCUUUCCUCUAACUCUGGUGAGGUCAUUCUGGAGUGACAUGAUGGACUCCGCACAGAGCUUCAUAACCUCUUCAUGGACUUUUUAUCUUCAAGCCGAUGACGGAAAAAUAGUUAUAUUCCAGCCAGAAAUCCAGUACGCACCACAUUUGGAGCAGGAGCCUACAAAUUUGAGAGAAUCAUCUCUAAGCAAA
rnacentral:lncRNA from 1 species